CUCUUUCGCCCUUAACCAUCCAACCCCUCCUCACUCUGCAGAGCCUCGCCCCACCACUCUCUCUCCCUCUCCUUCUUCCUCCCCACCACUCAUGGCGUCGUUGCCGGCGGCGAGGCCGGGCAGCCAUGGAUCUGGGAACCUCGCGUCGCGGCUACCCCGGUCGUGCUGCGCGUGGAGGUGCUCUGUCGGCCCGCAUCAGCGGCGCAAGCAUGAGCACCAGGAGGCACCCAGGCCGUGCAUCGAUGAGAAGCUCGCCGCCGUGGCGGCCCCAGUCGCCUCGUGCUUGGACGGCGGCCCGCGUCAGUCAUGCGAACAAGAGCACAGGAGGCCACGAUGGCUGCAAAUGGUGGGGGCGAGGGUUGGGCUCUCCCGGCGUCGCGCGAGUCGUUGAGGGGAGGCGAUGGCUAUGGAUGGCGUCGAGCAGUGGUGGAAGCCGCUCCAGCUUCCGUGCCGCGGCCUCUCAUACUAUCAGGUGCAAGUAGGUCGCCGGCAGGGCUUAGCCCCCUCAAGCAGAUGCGCUGUUGACGAGAACCGCCACCACGCCGGCGAGAGGAGUCGCGCCCUCCACUGGAUCUCGCUGGUGGGAGGAGUCGCGGUGGAGGUGUUGCUCCUGGGGGAAGCGACGACCUGCCUCGCAUGAAUUUGCCAGAGAGGUAGGCGGGGGCGCGGGGAUGGCUGCAGCCACGAGCCGGAGGGUUGGCAAAUAUUGGAGCAGUGAGGUGGUAGUUUAGUGUGGGCAACACGACAUUUUUUGGACAUGGCAAAUUUUGUUUUGGUUCACAAGAAAAUUCAUGUUUGUUUAAUGUCACCACUACUACUUUUGCCAUGCCACAUUGUUUUACCAUGCUAAUUUUGCUAAGCUUUUUGCCCUUGCAAAAAAGUUUAGCACUGACUAUGGCAACUUUAGUUUACUAUUAUCAAAACGGAUGAAAAUUCAUAGUUUU